rnacentral:rRNA from 1 species
GACAGAGGGUGCAAACGUUGUUCGGAAUUACUGGGCGUAAAGCGCGUGUAGGCUGCUCGGAAAGUCGGAUGUGAAAGCCCUGGGCUCAACCUAGGAAGUGCAUUCGAAACUUCCGAGCUGGAGUGCUGGAGAGGAAGGCGGAAUUCUCGGUGUAGAGGUGAAAUUCGUAGAUAUCAAGCGGAACACCGGUGGCGAAGGCGGCCUUCUGGACGAGUACUGACGCUGAGACGCGAAAGCGUGGGUAGCAAACAGG